rnacentral:miRNA from 1 species
UGUCCAGUAGCACCUUAGAGACCAACUAAGUUUGUUCUUGGUAUGAGCUUUCGUGUGCAUGCAAAAUACCAAAAGCAGAUACCAAAAGCAGAUACGAAAGCUCAUACCAAGAACAAACUUAGUUGGUCUCUAAGGUGCUACUGGACA